rnacentral:tRNA from 1 species
GAAGGUAUAGUUCAGCGGUAGAGCACAUGCUUACAUAUACGAGGUCCUGGGUAAAAUCCCCAGUAUCUCCA